CCUACGGGUGGCAGCAGUGAGGAAUCUUGGUCAAUGGACGAGAGUCUGAACCAGCCAAGUCGCGUGAAGGAUGACGGCCCUAUGGGUUGUAAACUUCUUUUUUAUGGGAAUAAAAUGUUCCACGUGUGGGAUUUUGUAUGUACCAUAUGUAUAAGGAUCGGCUAACUCCGUUCCAGCAGCCGCGGUAAUACGGAGGAUCCGAGCGUUAUCCGGAUUUAUUGGGUUUAAAGGGAGUGUAGGUGGGUUGUUAAGUUAGUUGUGAAAGUCUGCGGCUCAACCGUAAAAGUGCAGUUGAAACUGGCAGUCUUGAGUACAGUAGAGGUGGGCGGAAUUCGUGGUGUAGCGGUGAAAUGCUUAGAUAUCACGAAGAACUCCGAUUGCGAAGGCAGCUCACUGGACUGCAACUGACGCUGAGGCUCGAAAGUGUGGGUAUCAAACAGGAUUAGAUACCCGGGUAGUC
rnacentral:rRNA from 1 species